rnacentral:rRNA from 1 species
GAUGAACGCUGGCGGCGUGCUUAACACAUGCAAGUCGAACGGAAAGGCCCAAGCUUGCUUGGGUCCUCGAGUGGCGAACGGGUGAGUAACACGUGGGUGAUCUGCCCUGCACUUCGGGAUAAGCCUGGGAAACUGGGUCUAAUACCGGAUAGGACCACUUCUUGGAUGUUGUGGUGGAAAGUUUUUUCGGUCUGGGUUGAGCUAGCGGCCUAUCAGCUUGUUUGUGGGGUAUUGUCCUACCAAGGCGUCGACGGGUAGCCGGCCUGAGAGGGUGUACGGCCACAUUGGGACUGAGAGACGGCCCAGACUCCUACGGGAGGCAGCAGUGGGGAAUAUUGCACAAUGGGCGCAAGCCUGAUGCAGCGACGCCGCGUGGGGGAUGACGGCCUUCGGGUUGAAAACUCCUUUCGCUAGGGACGAAGCGUUUUGUGACGGUACCUGGAGAAGAAGCACCGGCUAACUACGUG